GAUGAAGAACGCAGCGAAAUGCGAUACGUAAUGUGAAUUGCAGAAUUCAGUGAAUCAUCGAAUCUUUGAACGCAUAUUGCGCUCUCUGGUAUUCCGGAGAGCAUGCUUGUUUGAGUAUCAGUAAACACCUCAACUUCCAUAUCUUUUUUGAAAUGGGAGUUGGACUUGAGUGAUCCCAACGCUUUUCCUCACCGAAAAGUGGCGGGUUACUUGAAAUGCAGGUGCAGCUGACUUUUCUCUGAGCUAUAAGCAUAUCUAUUUAGUCUGCCUAAAAACAGAUUAUUACCUUUGCUGCAGCUAACAUAAAGGAGAUUAGUUCUUGUGCUGACUGAUGCAGGAUUCACAAAGACAGGCUUCGGCCGACUUUGUAAACUCGAUCUCAAAUCAAGUAAGACUACCCGCUGAACUUAAGCAUAUCAAUAAGCGGAGGA
rnacentral:misc_RNA from 1 species